rnacentral:rRNA from 1 species
GUCUAUGGGCACGCCACCCUGAACAAGCCCAAUGUCUGAUCUCGGAAGCUAAGCAGGGUCGGGCCUGGUUAGUACUUGGAUGGGAGACCACAUAGGAAGACUGGGUGCUGUAGGCA